ACCGAUGUCGUCUAGAGGUUUUAGGAUGUCGCGUUUUCACCGCGAAGACCAGGGUUCGAACCCCUGCAUCGGUG
rnacentral:tRNA from 1 species